UACAGAGGCCCCAAGCGUUACCCGGAUUUACUGGGCGUAAAGGGUGUGUAGGUGGUGUGAUUAGUCUCUCGUUAAAACUCUGGGCUCAACCCAGAGAUCGCGAGGGAAACGGUUACACUAGAGGAUGUGAGGGGUCUGGGGAACUCAAGGUGUAGGGGUGAAAUCCGUUGAUAUCUUGGGGAACACCAAAAGCGAAGGCACCAGACUGGCGCAUUCCUGACACUGAGGCACGAAAGCGUGGGUAGCGAACGGG
rnacentral:misc_RNA from 1 species